rnacentral:rRNA from 1 species
GGAGGAAAAGAAACCAACAGGGAUUGCCUUAGUAACGGCGAGUGAAGCGGCAAUAGCUCAAAUUUGAAAUCUGGCGCUUUCAGCGUCCGAGUUGUAAUUUGUAGAAGGUAUCUUUGGUGUUGGCCCUUGUCUAUGUUUCUUGGAACAGGACGUCACAGAGGGUGAGAAUCCCGUGCGAUGGGGUGUCCAAUGCUAUGUAAAGUUCCUUCGACGAGUCGAGUUGUUUGGGAAUGCAGCUCUAAGUGGGUGGUAAAUUCCAUCUAAAGCUAAAUAUUGGCGAGAGACCGAUAGCGAACAAGUACAGUGAUGGAAAGAUGAAAAGAACUUUGAAAAGAGAGUGAAAAAGUACGUGAAAUUGUUGAAAGGGAAGGGCUUGAGAUCAGACUUGGCUUUGCCGGGCCAGCAUCGGUUUGGAUGGUAGGAUAAUGACAUUGGAAUGUAGCUUCACUUCGGUGUUGCAUUAUAGCCUUUGUUGAUACUGCCUGUCUAGACCGAGGACUGCGUCUUUUGACUAGGAUGCUGGCAUAAUGAUCUUAAGCCGCCCGUCUUGA